rnacentral:rRNA from 1 species
GAUGAACGCUAGCUACAGGCUUAACACAUGCAAGUCGAGGGGUAACGAGAGGAAAGCUUGCUUUCCUUGUCGACGACCGGCGCACGGGUGAGUAACGCGUAUCCAACCUGCCCCCAACUAGGGAAUAACCUUGCGAAAGUAAGACUAAUACCCUAUAAUUUCCUCAGAUGACAUCUGACGAGGAAUAAAGAUUUAUCGGUUGUGGAUGGGGAUGCGUCUGAUUAGCUUGUUGGCGGGGUAACGGCCCACCAAGGCAGCGAUCAGUAGGGGUUCUGAGAGGAAGGUCCCCCACAUUGGAACUGAGACACGGUCCAAACUCCUACGGGAGGCAGCAGUGAGGAAUAUUGGUCAAUGGGCGGAAGCCUGAACCAGCCAAGUAGCGUGCAGGAUGACGGCCCUAUGGGUUGUAAACUGCUUUUAUACAGGAAUAAAGUUAGCCACGUGUGGUUAUUUGUAGGUACUGUAUGAAUAAGGACCGGCUAAUUCCGUGCCAGCAGCCGCCGUAAGAC